rnacentral:lncRNA from 10 species
CACCGUUCACUCCGGAACAGAGACUGAGAUGCAGCUGCCUAAGAAACGCUCUGGGCUGGAAUGACUUCAUCUGGACAACAGAUGCAUCAGCUACACUAAGGCCCGAUCCGAGACUUCUGAUGCAUAAAGCAUGCAACUUCGCGCACGGAUGUACUUUCCAUUUGAAGUACUGCUAGAGAUUUGUGCCCUCAAACACGGGAAUUUUGGUAAGUUCUAUUUCACACCAUUUCCAUAAAAAAGAAAUAUGUUCCAUUUACUAUGAUGUACUAUGCAUUCUGAAGGAUAUAUGAAACGGGCGAGACCUUCCAUCUCGACGAGGUGUUAAUGAGAACAGAAUCUACUGCUUACAGUUUUAUGUAUCUGAGGUUGGAAGAUUUUCCACAGGCCAGCAUCUGGUUCUGCACACUUCAAACCUUGUGUCUGUCACUCUGUAACCAGAAAGGGGUCCCGAUCCAGACCCCAAGAGAAGGUUCUUGCACUUCGCACAAGAAAGAAUUCUGGGUGCAUCCACAGAGUAAAGUGAAAGCAAGUUUAUUAAGAAAGUAAAGGAAUAAGAAUGGCUACUCCACGGACAGGGCAGCGGCUUGGCUGCCCACUGAUUACACUUAUAGUUAUUUCUUGAUUAUAUGCCAGAUAAGGGGUUGAUUAUUCAUGAAUUUUCUGGGAAAAGGAUGGGCUAUUCCCGGAAUUGAGGGUCCCUCCCCCUUAGACCAUAUAGGGCAACUUCCUCACGUUGCCACGGCAUCUCUAAACU